CGCAGGAUAGUGAAAUGGCAUCACGCCAGCCUCCUUAGCUGGUAUUACAGGUUCGACACCUGUUCCUGCAACCA
rnacentral:tRNA from 2 species